rnacentral:rRNA from 1 species
CCGUAAAACGUUGGGCGCUAGAUGUGGGGACCAUUCCACGGUUUCCGUGUCGUAGCUAACGCAUUAAGCGCCCCCCCCUGGGGAGUACGGCCGCAAGGCUAAAACUCAAAGGAAUUGACGGGGGCCCGCACAAGCGGCGGAGCAUGCGGAUUAAUUCGAUGCAACGCGAAGAACCUUACCCAAGGCUUGACAUAUACGAGAACGCCGCAGAAAUGUGGAACUCUUUGGACACUCGUAUACAGGUGGUGCAUGGUUGUCGUCAGCUCGUGUCGUGAGAUGUUGGGUUAAGUCCCGCAACGAGCGCAACCCUCGUCGUAUGUUGCCAGCACGUAAUGGUGGGAACUCAUAUGAGACUGCCCGGGGUCAACUCGGAGGAAGGUGGGGAUGACGUCAAAUCAUCAUGCCCCUUAUGUCUUGGGCUUCACGCAUGCUACAAUGGCCGGUACAAAGGGCUGCGAUGUCGUAAGGCGGAGCGAAUCCCAAAAAGCCGGUCUCAGUUCGGAUUGAGGUCUGCAACUCGACCUCAUGAAGUCGGAGUCGCUAGUAAUCGCAGAUCAGCAACGCUGCGGUGAAUACGUUCCCGGGCCUUGUACACACCGCCCGUCAAGUCAUGAAAGUCGGUAACACCCGAAGCCGGUGGCCUAACCCUUGUGGAGGGAGCCGUCGAAGGUGGGAUCGGUGAUUAGGACUAAGUCGUAANCNAGGUACC